GAUGAACGCUGGCGGCGUGCCUAACACAUGCAAGUCGAGCGGGAUUUUGCUGAAUGACGCUUCGGUUGAUUUCAAUGAAUGAGAGCGGCGGACGGGUGAGUAACGCGUAGGCAACCUGCCCUUUGCAGAGGGAUAGCCAUUGGAAACGAUGAUUAAAACCUCAUAAUGCCAAGUUCAGACAUCUUUACUUGGCCAAAGAUUUAUCGGCAAAGGAUGGGCCUGCGUCUGAUUAGCUAGUUGGUGGGGUAACGGCCUACCAAGGCGACGAUCAGUAGCCGACCUGAGAGGGUGAUCGGCCACAUUGGAACUGAGACACGGUCCAA
rnacentral:rRNA from 1 species